CAGCUGGAUGAGGCUUCUCCUUUCCCCCCCACAGGACCUGAAUGGCUGGCCCCAUGGAGCUAUAUGACAACCAUUUAUCCACGCAGCCAUGUACAAGGAUGCCCAGCCAGCCUCCCCUGCUGCCGGAUGCUGGUGGAGAACAGAUGCAGAGGGCAGGUGAAUGGGAGUGGAAGAGGAACUGGGAAGAAGGGAAACCAGGAAAUUUGAAAACCUGAACCAAAACCCUCGGAGGCAGAAGGCCCUGGAGCUGAGGUCUGGAGGGAAGCAAAGCAACUCUGCUGAGGUCCUGAAGGCUGUUUUUAAAAUUGUGCCUGUGUGUGCGUGUGUGUAUGCAUUUCUUUAAUUCUGUGAGCUUUCUCUCUGGAUCAUUCCAAUAAAUGCCUCUAUUCUUGAGUUA